rnacentral:rRNA from 1 species
AGUGAACGCUGGCGGUAGGCCUAACACAUGCAAGUCGAACGGCAGCACAGUAAGAGCUUGCUCUUACGGGUGGCGAGUGGCGGACGGGUGAGGAAUACAUCGGAAUCUACUUUUUCGUGGGGGAUAACGUAGGGAAACUUACGCUAAUACCGCAUACGACCUACGGGUGAAAGCAGGGGAUCUUCGGACCUUGCGCGAUUGAAUGAGCCGAUGUCGGAUUAGCUAGUUGGCGGGGUAAAGGCCCACCAAGGCGACGAUCCGUAGCUGGUCUGAGAGGAUGACAGGCCACCCUGAACUGGAGACCGGUCCCGGCCCCUUAGGGGAGGAACCAGUGGGGAAUAUUGGCAAAUGGGCGAAACCCUGUCCCGGCCAACCGGCGUGGGUGAAGAGGGCUUCCGGGUUGUAAAGCCCUUUUGUUGGGAAAGAAAGGAAGCAGGUUAAUACCCCGCUGUUCUACCGGUCCCAAAGGAAUAAGCACGGCUUAAUUCCUU